rnacentral:tRNA from 1 species
CCUGUGGCUCAGACAGUAAAGCGUCUGCCUACAAUGCAGAAGACCCAGGUUCAAUCCCUGGGUCAGGA